AUGGGGGCGAGCGGGGAGCGACCUUUAGAGCCGGUUUGGAGGGAACUGGGGGCGCGGCUCUGGCACAGGUACCAAAAGCCCCUUUCCUCGGCGAUCCUGCGGCAGGUCAUGUACGCGGGGACGGGGCAGGAGCGGGCGGGAGCGAUGCCGCUGCCCCCCUGCCCUCUCGGUACGCGCCUGCACAGGGGCGGACAUUUCCCAUCAAGCCCUUGCCACGGGAUGUCCGAGGGCAUCGCUACCUCCCUGCCACAAAAACAAACCACUCAUCAGCUCCGCUCGGUGUGUGCCAUCGAGAGAAGUCGCCGCGGUGCGAACGGGCACCAUCUGUCCUGCCAUUCCGGGAGACGCAGAUAUAUUUCUUUAGACAGGUCAGCAGUUCUUCCCGGCCAGCCCUGUCAGGCACCUGUCAGGGGAGAAAACCUCUUCAUAGCUGCCGCGGUGGGAUCCUUAUCAGCGGCAGUCCCUUUGCUGACAGGGCCCAGCCUUAAGCUUCGCGCAAAUCACUGUCCUCGGGGGACAGGGGGCUGUCGUUACCGGGGGAUGCCGGUACCGCUCACGACAAAACACGGGAGGGAGGGAGGGAGGACGGCGCGGGGAGCCGGCCCCCAAGAGCCCGUAGGCUGCCCAAGGAAGGCCGGGUGAGCUCUGGAGCAGUGGUUUCCCUCCGGGCCCGAGCCGUCGGGCAGCCACGCUGCCCACCCGCGAAGGGGCGAGGCUCCCGCGGCGCCCACGCGUGCCCGGGGCUCCGCCGCGCCCGGCGGGACAGCGGCGUGGGGAGACCGCGCCGCGGAACCCCCACAGCCACGUGUGUCGAGGCGCUUUCUUUCGAGUGGGGCCAUCGCUCCGUGGCUGACCCAGAGCCCCAGUCACACACUUCGUCCCUACCAAAGUACCGCCUUCUUGCCUCCUCCCCCCCCCAAUAAUUCCGACCUGUUUUCUUUCUGUUCCUCACUUGCUUUCAAAAUGAGGGCACGUUCAGGGAAGCCUGCCUGCCCGCCUCCGGCACUUCCACACGGUAUCGCGUGGACAUCUUCUCCCCCCCCACACACACCUAAAGAAAAAAAAAAAAUUAAAAAACAAACCAAACCAACAACAGGCACCACCACCAAAAGGAAAACCUCAAAUGCGCCGUGUGCUCCCAACUUGGAGUACAGUCGGUGCUAAUACGGGUCAGUUCCUGCCCCUAGCUGGGAAGGCAGGGAGGAGGAUGUAACGUAUAUGUUGGUGGGGGGUGGCGGUGGGGGGAGGAACAAAAACAACCCCCAAAAUAAACAAACAAACAAAUCUCGCGCACGAUCACAAUAAAGUGAAAUUCCUUUCUACACACCCACAACUUCAGCUCUGUCUGCUGCCUGGGGGGUUUUAAUCUCGCAAAGAGAAAGGGGGGCUCCCUGCGCAAAAUUACGCCUUCUCCUCUCAUUUGUUAGCUGAUUCCAUCAAAAAGUUCGCUAUUUAUAGGCUACACACACGAACCUGGAGUAAUACAAACCCUCCCGUGUUGUUGCCCUCGCAAAGUGGCCGGUGCUGAAGCAUCUGAUCGGGUUUGUGUGUGCGCGCGAGUGAGAGCGAGCCACGCAGAGAGCGCUGCCAUCCAAAAGGGGAAAGAAGAGCUCAAGCUGAGAGACUUAUUAAUUGCUAAGAGCUGCUCUGCCACCAGCCAUGUGAGUACCUAACAAUGAUCACCUUUUGCACAGAUGGUCAGCGAUCAGGCACAGACUUUCUGUCCUUUUCCUUCUCCCUCCCCUUUCUUAUUUUUUUAUUGCCCUCCUGUAUCCUUCCCACCCACCUUUCCUUUCUUUUCCACCCCCCCUCCUUUUUUUUUUUUUUUUUUUUUCCCCCCCCCCCCCCCCCCCCCCCCUCCUUUUUUUUUUUUUUUCUUUUUAGUUUGAGUUUGCACGGUUUAUUCCUCAUGAAGAGGAGGAAUGAAACGUGGGCAAACGCGGGGGAGAUAAUGUGCCGGCGAAGAGGAAGGAAGGAAGGAAGGAGUGGUAAAGGGAGAGGAGGAGGAGGAGGGUUUGUUAAGCGAUCGCCUUGUCCCCUGAGUCCGAGCCGGCUGGGAAUUAGUAACAGCGAGAUAGAUAGCGGAGGUUGUAUCCCUUCCUCUUCCUCCGCUUUCCCUUUCCUGGAGCCCUCAGACCCCCUGACAAUUAUUACCCUGGUAUCAACGCGGACAACGAGCUGUAUUCAUCAAAUCUCAUUUGGGGAAAUUGAAAGGGAAUUUAAAAUAAAUAAACAAAUAGAGAGAGAAAAAGCUGGAGAUCACGCGGGGAUAAGGGGUUGAUGGCUCCGCGUACAGCAAUGACUGUCCCUCAGCUCCCAGACCACUGUGCAGGCAGGUAGAAAGCGCCUGCAGAGCAGCCCAGUCCCACGGGCUGAGCGUGCGAUUUUGGGAGGAGAGAGAGAAAAAGAGAGAGAGCCCCAGCCCCUCGCCCCCGCCGCCCCUUCCCCAGCGAGGGGCACGGGGGGCGACAGGGAGCGCCUUCCUUUCGCUCCGCCAGCUCUCAGCGCUUUCCCCGCACUGCCAGAGCCCGGCGUGGCACAGUGCAGGCAGGGCACGGUACGGCACGUGGGUCUGGGGAAUUGCACAGUUCUUUCCAGAGCGGGCAAAAAAAUGCAAUCUGUGCUAGGGAGCGUGGCUCUCGGAAAGGUAGGUGUCCUGGUUUAUGCAGGAAUGCAGGGCUAGGACACUCCGCGUGGAAAGGGGGUGGGUGUGGAGAGAGAAAGCGAAUUUGUUUCCAGCGUGGAGAGAUGCUUUUCUAACCCAACACUCGAGCUCCAAUCACACACUCUGAGGUUAGCGUAGCAUUAAAUUAACAGACAGGGUCGGGGUUAUCCAGGGCACUAUACCGCGUGCCCGGGAAGUAACCUCUGCUCGUUUGUACACAAAGAAGAGGGAGAGACGGAGUUACAUCUGGAAAGGCAAAGAGCACGGUGAGUAUCGGUAUUCGCUGCUCUCCCUCCCAUGCCUGGGAACAAAGUUCAAAGGCGGCCGGUGCGGGACUGGGGCUGGCUCCGCCGAAGCCCCCGCUCCCUUUGGAGGCGGCAGCGCAGCCGCCUUUGGAGCCGGGACCCCCAGCGCAGCCCCUUCGGGGCGAGCCCUCGCUGAGCAGCAAGGAGAACUUGCGGCAUCUUGGUUAGAACUUUGCUACUUUGUGUAGAGAGAAAAAAAAAAUUAAAAACAAAAAAAAAAGAUUGACUUGGAUGCAGCGCUAUUUAUAGGUGGCGGUAAAGGCUCCUUUUCAAUAAGCAGCAGUGGAAAAGAAACGUCAGAAAACUGGCUGCUUUAUUGAUCCGAGGUGCUGGACGGUCACAGCCACGCCAGCCAGGCGGCACCUACAAAGUCGCGUCUCCUCUCGGGUUAGGCAGCGAGAAGAGGAAUAGGAUGCGGGUUUUGCUGACCAUUAGCCUGGACACGCUUCAAUUCCCAAGCACAGGUACAGGGCAAAAGAGUGUGAGAUGGAAGACUUUUCCCUUUUCUUUCAGACACUCACACAAUGCAGGGCACUCGCAGGGCUGAAAGUGGGCCAGGGCUACACGGUAGGUAUCAGAUCACACAAAGCAGAGGAAAGAAAUCCAGUUAAAAAUACAUUAGUUGAAAUCAGAGGACGAGCUUGAUUAUUUUUCUUUUUAAUUUUAAACAAAGCUACACGUUAGAACAAGCUGGAAGCACUCUCUGUGCCUGACGGUAUCCCCCACGCCCAUUGGAAAUAAAGCAAGAGGCUUGCUCUUUCUUUGCAUCUUUUAAACCUUGUUUUAAUUAGAAUUGCCAAAGUAGGACACCCCGGUGGAAGAUGUUUGCAAGUAUCCACCUACCUCUCUGCUGUAAGCAGAAUUGCUGUCUGCUAAAUUGCUUGAAACGCAAAAUUCUGCCCCACCCCCAGCUUGGUUUGGCACCUACUCACUCUUUCCCCCCAAAAUUGCAAUCGCUUAUGAAAGGUUACUCCAUUGGGAGGAAAAGAGAAACUCCAAACACCCAGCAGUAAUGAGAUGAGUGGACUCUGAAAGCCUUGCUUUGCUCUGUACAACAGGAAAGGCUUUGGACAGAGAGCGUCCCAAAAAACUCAUGCCUUCUUUUUUUUUUUUUUUCUUUUUAAGUCCCAGAUUGGGCGUAUCCUUACCCUUCUCCUUUAAUUUAUUUGAUUAAAUCAUAACCAAAACAGACUCAUCAGCUUCUCGUAUUUCCUCAGCUGUAACCAUACGCGAAACCUUUUAUAUGGAGACAAGCAAUUGGCUUUAGUUAACUCAGGGCACAGGCUGCGCUUAAGUUUUCCUCCCGUUCCCAGGGCAGCGUUUCACGCAAACGCGUGUUCCAGCUCUGUCUCACGCUCCUCAGUCACCAGCCUCACGUUUUUAAACUGUUUGUACCGUUCACCACCAUUCUCUGAUUUCUCUCAUGAGGGAUGCUCACGGCAGAGGCUUGCGGGACGAUGGGGCUCUUCCCCCUCGGGAUUUGGGAGUGGGGGGACAGGUUCAGGGGGAGUCCAGCUCGGUUGGAACUCGGAACCGCUCCCGGACCGCGUCCCGCGGCCACCCGCAUCCCGCCUCGGUACCGGGCUCGCGGCUCGCUCCCGAUGAAGGACUAGAUUAAUUUCACCUUCAAGAAAGCGAGGUUCUGUUAGCUCACUUCUAUCUUAAAUCAAAAAGAUUUAAGAGU
rnacentral:lncRNA from 1 species